GGAGUUUUCGAAAAUAUCCUGGCAGGCGUUUCUAGAAAUCUCCGUUUUCAGUCACCGAAAACGCCGUUUAAGUGUGGACGAAAGGUGCAAACGCAUAGAAAAAUCUCCAUUUUCAAAAGUACCUGUGUACAUAGCUCAAGAAUAAUAAGAACUCCUAAACAGGAGACUUUAGUUUUUAAGAACUGUUUAACAAAGGCUUGUUUGUGCCAACCUAAAUCUGCAGCACAGUUUAAAUUCUCACUUUGUGGAAAAUUAAUGAAAUAAACAACAGCCCACCUUCACAUAAAUAAAAUAUGGCAGUAUAUUAUUAUUAGUAUGGUACAUAGAUAUUUAUUUUAAAACUACAGCAUAUUUAAUGAUACUAUGUGCAGUUGAUAAUAUUUGAGGAAGUAGAAUUUGAAUGCAGACCACCUCAAAUAUUAAAGACUUAAAAAUAUAUCGUGCAGUUUUUCAUGUAUGAGUGUUAUUGCAAUCUUAAAUGAGAUGUAGACCAAAGAAAACAGAGGAGAGUUGUUGUUUGUAUUCCAGCUGUAGUAAACAAAGAAGUUUAGUGAAUCUUUUUGACAACAGAGAGUGAUGCAGUAUUGAUGCUAAUUUGAGUUUUCUGAUCCUGUAUUUUUGCUCUUUGUCUUUUGUUACACAGAGUGAAAUAGAAGCUUGGUUUUGCCUUUGCUGAUUGAUAAAACGACACAUCACCUUAAUAAAGACGGAAAUCUUUAAUAAGAGUGAAACAGAACUUCGGUUUUGCCUUUGCUGGUAAGUAAGCAGCAAUUGUAACUGCAGUAAUAUGACAUUGUCACUGUGUAACAUGUUUAGCAAUUUACCUAACGUAGUUUGGUUUUUGUGACAUUACCAUUUACUGAUGGGCAAAAACAAAUGGUCAGAAUUUAUACCUUGUAGCAGCAAAGUCCCCACACAUGACCUCUGACUGUCCCUGAAGUUUAAUAGGCCAUUUAUGUCUGAUUUUUAUGUUUGAACACAAACAACUGUUUUUAUACAGUUGUUCAUGUUCUCCAUUUGUUUGUGGAUUCACGUAGCAGACACAACUAUGAACGCAUUUUAGGUGAGUUAGUGUAAGUGGUAGCUUAAACACUUAAGAGCACCACAGUUGUUGAUUUAUAUCUUCACUCAUAUUCUGCUUAUGUAUUACAUUAAAGUCAGACCACUAUAGAAGUAUUUUUGCCUGAGUGAAUAGAAGUGGUAGGUUGAACUUUUAAGCAAUAAUAAAAAACUAAGAGAACCAGAGUUGUGAGUAGGCA